rnacentral:pre_miRNA from 1 species
GGAAUUAAAAAAGGUGGAACGCUUUGGGUGGUGGAUAGGUACUAAUUUUGAAAAAGUCUUACAAUUUCAAAACAAGUACCUGCCCAUUUCCCGUUCCGUUUUUGCAUAAG